rnacentral:rRNA from 1 species
UGCCAGCCGCCGCGGUAAUACGGAGGGGGUUAGCGUUAAUCGGAAUUACUGGGCGUAAAGCGCGCGUAGGCGCAAUGUUAAGUCUCAUGUGAAAGCCCUGGGCUUAACCUGGGAAUGGCAUUCGAAACUGCAGAGCUAGAGUAUGGUAGAGGGAAGUGGAAUUUCCGGUGUAGCGGUGAAAUGCGUAGAUAUCGGAAGGAACACCAGUGGCGAAGGCGACUUCCUGGGCCAAUACUGACGCUGAGGUGCGAAAGCGUGGGGAGCAAACAGGAUUAGAUA